AGACCCGAAACCCGGUGAUCUAGCCAUGGGCAGGUUGAAGGUUGGGUAACACUAACUGGAGGACCGAACCGACUAAUGUUGAAAAAUUAGCGGAUGACCUGUGGCUGGGGGUGAAAGGCCAAUCAAACCGGGAGAUAGCUGGUUCUCCCCGAAAGCUAUUUAGGUAGCGCCUCGUGAAUUCAUCUCCGGGGGUAGAGCACUGUUUCGGCUAGGGGGCCAUCCCGGCUUACCAACCCGAUGCAAACUGCGAAUACCGGAGAAUGUUAUCACGGGAGACACACGGCGGGUGCUAACGUCCGUCGUGAAGAGGGAAACAACCCAGACCGCCAGCUAAGGUCCCAAAGUCAUGGUUAAGUGGGAAACGAUGUGGGAAGGCCCAGACAGCCAGGAUGUUGGCUUAGAAGCAGCCAUCAUUUAAAGAAAGCGUAAUAGCUCACUGGUCGAGUCGGCCUGCGCGGAAGAUGUAACGGGGCUAAACCAUGCACCGAAGCUGCGGCAGCGACGCUGAUGCGUUGUUGGGUAGGGGAGCGUUCUGUAAGCCUGCGAAGGUGUGCUGUGAGGCAUGCUGGAGGUAU
rnacentral:rRNA from 1 species